rnacentral:rRNA from 1 species
UGCAGUCGAGCGGAGUGAUGGUGCUUGCACUAUCACUUAGCGGCGGACGGGUGAGUAAUGCUUAGGAAUCUGCCUAUUAGUGGGGGAAACAUUUCGAAAGGAAUGCUAAUACCGCAUACGUCCUACGGGAGAAAGCAGGGGAUCUUCGGACCUUGCGCUAAUAGAUGAGCCUAAGUCGGAUUAGCUAGUUGGUGGGGUAAAGGCCUACCAAGGCGACGAUCUGUAGCGGGUCUGAGAGGAUGAUCCGCCACACUGGGACUGAGACACGGCCCAGACUCCUACGGGAGGCAGCAGUGGGGAAUAUUGGACAAUGGGCGCAAGCCUGAUCCAGCCAUGCCGCGUGUGUGAAGAAGGCCUUAUGGUUGUAAAGCACUUUAAGCGAGGAGGAGGCUACUGAAGUUAAUACCUUCAGAUAGUGGACGUUACUCGCAGAAUAAGCACCGGCUAACUCUGUGCCAGCAGCCGCGGUAAUACAGAGGGUGCAAGCGUUAAUCGGAUUUACUGGGCGUAAAGCGCGCGUAGGCGGCUAAUUAAGUCAAAUGUGAAAUCCCCGAGCUUAACUUGGGAAUUGCAUUCGAUACUGGUUAGCUAGAGUGUGGGAGAGGAUGGUAGAAUUCCAGGUGUAGCGGUGAAAUGCGUAGAGAUCUGGAGGAAUACCGAUGGCGAAGGCAGCCAUCUGGCCUAACACUGACGCUGAGGUGCGAAAGCAUGGGGAGCAAACAGGAUUAGAUACCCUGGUAGUCCAUGCCGUAAACGAUGUCUACUAGCCGUUGGGGCCUUUGAGGCUUUAGUGGCGCAGCUAACGCGAUAAGUAGACCGCCUGGGGAGUACGGUCGCAAGACUAAAACUCAAAUGAAUUGACGGGGGCCCGCACAAGCGGUGGAGCAUGUGGUUUAAUUCGAUGCAACGCGAAGAACCUUACCUGGCCUUGACAUAGUAAGAACUUUCCAGAGAUGGAUUGGUGCCUUCGGGAACUUACAUACAGGUGCUGCAUGGCUGUCGUCAGCUCGUGUCGUGAGAUGUUGGGUUAAGUCCCGCAACGAGCGCAACCCUUUUCCUUAUUUGCCAGCGAGUAAUGUCGGGAACUUUAAGGAUACUGCCAGUGACAAACUGGAGGAAGGCGGGGACGACGUCAAGUCAUCAUGGCCCUUACGGCCAGGGCUACACACGUGCUACAAUGGUCGGUACAAAGGGUUGCUACCUAGCGAUAGGAUGCUAAUCUCAAAAAGCCGAUCGUAGUCCGGAUUGGAGUCUGCAACUCGACUCCAUGAAGUCGGAAUCGCUUGUAAUCGCGGAUCAGAAUGCCGCGGUGAAUACGUUCCCGGGCCUUGUACACACCGCCCGUCACACCAUGGGAGUUUGUUGCACCAGAAGUAGGUAGUCUAACCCCAAGGAGGACGCUUACCACGGUGUGGCCGAUGACAGGGGGAAGU